rnacentral:rRNA from 1 species
CGAACGCUGGCGGCGUGCUUAACACAUGCAAGUCGAACGGAAAGGCCCUGCUUUUGUGGGGUGCUCGAGUGGCGAACGGGUGAGUAACACGUGAGUAACCUGCCCUUGACUUUGGGAUAACUUCAGGAAACUGGGGCUAAUACCGGAUAGGAGCUCCUGCUGCAUGGUGGGGAUUGGAAAGUUUCGGCGGUUGGGGAUGGACUCGCGGCUUAUCAGCUUGUUGGUGGGGUAGUGGCUUACCAAGGCUUUGACGGGUAGCCGGCCUGAGAGGGUGACCGGCCACAUUGGGACUGAGAUACGGCCCAGACUCCUACGGGAGGCAGCAGUGGGGAAUAUUGCACAAUGGGCGGAAGCCUGAUGCAGCAACGCCGCGUGCGGGAUGACGGCCUUCGGGUUGUAAACCGCUUUCGCCUGUGACGAAGCGUGAGUGACGGUAAUGGGUAAAGAAGCACCGGCUAACUACGUG